rnacentral:rRNA from 2 species
UUGGAGGGCAAGUCUGGUGCCAGCAGCCGCGGUAAUUCCAGCUCCAAUAGCGUAUAUUAAAGUUGUUGCAGUUAAAAAGCUCGUAGUUGAAUUUCGGGAUUGACACAUCGGUCGUGCCUUAAGGGGUAUGAACUGGUGUAGUCAGUUUCUCACCUUCUGGAGAACCGCGAUGUCCUUAAUUGGGUGCCGCGAGGAACCAGGACCUUUACUUUGAAAAAAUUAGAGUGUUUAAAGCAGGCAUUUUGCUUGAAUACAUUAGCAUGGAAUAAUAAAAUAGGACGGAUGGUUCUAUUUUGUUGGUUUCUAGGAUCACCGUAAUGAUUAAUAGGGAUAGUUGGGGGCAUUAGUAUUCAAUUGUCAGAGGUGAAAUUCUUGGAUUUAUUGAAGACUAACUACUGCGAAAGCAUUUGCCAAGGAUGUUUUCAUUAAUCAAGAACGAAAGUUAGGGGAUCGAAGACGAUCAGAUACCGUCGUAGUCUUAACCAUAAACUAUGCCGACUAGGAAUCAGACGAUGUUAAUUUUUUAAUGACUCGUUUGGCACCUUAC